rnacentral:rRNA from 1 species
CCCUUAGAUGUUCUGGGCCGCACGCGCGCUACACUGAUGCAUUCAACGAGCCUAUCCUUGACCGACAGGUCCGGGUAAUCUUUGAAUCUGCAUCGUGACGGGGAUAGAUUAUUGCAAUUAUUAAUCUUCAACGAGGAAUGCCUAGUAGGCGCAAGUCAUCAGCUUGCGUCGAUUACGUCCCUGCCCUUUGUACACACCGCCCGUCGCUCCUACCGAUUCGGUGUGCUGGUGAAAUGUUCGGAUCGGCCGUUUGUCGCGGUUUCCGCGUCAUGUGGCUGAGAAGUUCAUUAAACCCUCCCACCUAGAGGAAGGAGAAGUCGUAACA